UACGUAGGGUGCGAGCGUUGUCCGGAAUUAUUGGGCGUAAAGAGCUCGUAGGCGGUGUGUCACGUCGGCCGUGAAAACCUGCAGCUUAACUGUGGGCGUGCGGUCGAUACGGGCAUCACUGGAGUUCGGCAGGGGAGACUGGAAUUCUCGGUGUAGCGGUGAAAUGCGUAGAUAUCGAGAGGAACACCUGCGGCGAAGGCGGGUUGCUGGGCUGACACUGACGCUGAGGCGCGAAAGCCAGGGGAGCGAACGGG
rnacentral:rRNA from 1 species